CUUGUACAUAAUACAUAUGUUAUUGAAUUCUCCACAUUCGAUGUGUGAAAUAUUUUCUACAUUCCUGUUAAAUUCUUUACAGUAAUUGAGGUAAUUAGUAACUGUUGUUGUUGCAAUCAAUGACGACCUCCAUACUCAUGUCCAAAAUGCUACUAUCGAGGAGCAAAAUCUCCAUGGUUGACUUCCUGCAGGCGCUGUAACGCUGUAAAGAAGACACCGUAGCAUGUCUUAGUCGUAAGAGAAGAUACCUUAACAUGUACACAGAGUUGACAUGCUGCAACUUUUUUGCAAAAUCGGAUAGAAAUCACCAAUGAUAGUAUACACAUGGGCAUCACAUGUUUGUAGAAGAGUGAACUUGAUACAAAUCUUUUUAAAUAAUCAUCGUGACAGAAACUGCAAGCCAGAAGCAAUGAAUUUAUUGAAUUUUCUUUGUUUUGAGCUUGAACUUCUUUCUUUGAUCAUGAUGUCAUGCUAGAAAAAGUCUCGAUAGCUUAGGCAGCCAGUAAAGAAACAUUAAUAAAUAAAAAUAAAUGCCAUAACAUGUUUUACAUGUAAGUUUAAACAAAGAAUUUACCUGUAAAAACGCAUGUGUAUGUCUAUAACUGUCAAGACGCUGUAACCAUUGUAGUUACAACACCGUAUCGCGUUGUCUUAUAGAUGCAUCUCUCAUUGUAACGUAGUUCAGCGGGAGUUGGGACAAUUUUGUCCCUUGUUUUCAGUAUUUUGGGAAUUUUCAACUUUCACCCAUGUAUUUCAGUGAUGUCACAGCAGAAAUUUAACCUUACUCCUGAGGCUUAGGAGAUAUAAGCACCUACCAGAACUAAGUACGCAUACUUAUGUCAUAAGCAUAGCUCUGGACUAGACGGCGCAAUUCUGCAGGUUGAUCAAGCUCUAAGACUAUUCUGGAUACAUAUGACACAAAACAAUUCUGCAGGUUGAUCAAGCUCUAAGACUAUUCUGGAUACAUAUGGCACAAAACAAUUCUGCAGGUUGAUCAAUUUCUAAGACUAUUCUGGAUACAUAUUGCACAAAACUCAAGACUAUUCUGGAUACAACAUAUGGCACAAAACAAUUCUGCAGGUUGAUCAAGCUCUAAGACUAUUCUGGAUACAUAUGGCACAAAACUCAAGACUAUUCUGGAUACAACAUAA